GAUCCCUUCGCUGGUGGUUAUGCUGGUGCUCGGUGUGCUCCCAUCCUGUGUUCCCAAGUGGAGACCCUCUCUCUCGGGUGAGACAACCACUACACCAUCCGGGCUCGGGCGUCUGGUGGACUGAGGGAACUGUCAGUGCAGUCUGAAGCAGAAGCACUCUCAGGUUUGCUCCUGCUGCCCAUCAGAGUGAAGUUCAGUGUUACCUCAGCUGGGUUACAGAUUGCUCUGGAGAAGCAAACAACACAAUGCUGUCAGAAUGGCUCUGGACCUUUCUGUGCAUCAGGUCUUGCAAGCUCUGUAAAAUGGUGCUUCCUGGAUCUGCUGUGAAUAUCUUCUUAUGCCAUCUUGCAAAACUGUCUAUUCUAUCCAUUAAGUGACUUACUGACAGUGCAGACUGUGCAAUGUGCCAUUAUUAUGAAAAUGGAGACUCCAAAGACUCCUGCCUUCAAGUCUGAAACUAUACACAAAUAUUUCCACUUGAAAACACACCAGCAUCUUUGAAGAACAAUAUUCAAGAUGAAAAAAAUUCAGCCAAAGUAGUUCUUGAGGAACUGCAGCUUGUGGGAAGGACUCCUACCAGAGAGGUUUGUGAAGGACUGUCUCCCAUGCUAGAACUCCUAUCCCAGAGCACUGGAAGAGUAUGAGGAAAUACAUGUGGCAGAGAUACAGGAGAAAUUAUAUAACAAUUUGGUGGAUACCUGCCUACUAGUCAAGGUCAACCCAGCACACAAAGCUGGCAGCUGAGCCUCAUGGACCUGCCUGCUCAAACCUCCCAGCAGGGCACAGAAGAGACUUGGAAGGGCAAAAGGGAGAAAACUUGUGGUUGAGACAAUGACAGUUCAACAAGCAAAACAAAAGCUGCAUGCGCAAGCAAAGCAAAACACAGAAUUCGGUCAGGAGGGUGUUCAGCCAUCUCCAGGACAGCCACGCUCCAUCCUGCCUAAAGGAGACCUGAAAAAUCUAAUGGUAUCACUUCGAAUGCCCUCCUCACCGUCCUUCUGCACUCCAGCCCUUAUUGCUGACCAUGGUGUUGUGUGGUAUGGCAUAUCCCUCUUGUCAGUUUAAAAACAUAGGUGGUUUCUUUACAGUUUGUUUUACUAAAGGAUCAGAAGCCUAUUGCAUAGCAGAUUGAAAACGAGAAAAAUCAAGCCUGACCACGAGGUAUGACACCAGAAACUGCAGCAUUGUCUGGAAACUUACAGUUUCUUCAACAGGAUGACAUAGUGUUGUGGGUGUCCACCACCAAAGCUGCUCUAUAAUUUCACCGUUCUCAGCAGGACAGGGGAGGGAAAAUAUAAUGAAAGGCUCAUGGAAUGAGAUAAGGACAAGUAGAAAUUACUCAUCAAUUAUGAUCCCAGGCACAAUAGACUAAACCUGGGGAAAAUUAGUU